rnacentral:lncRNA from 1 species
AAUUUCUUCACUUUAAAGGCUUUCACACUGAUUACAUUACAACCACAAACAUUUGCACAGCGUCCUAAUUCUCCCGACUUUAACUAGGAGACUAUUUCUGAUGAUUUAAAUCAAUGGAAGGUAAUAGUGAUUUAAUAGUUUUUUUAUAAAUAUUUUCUAUUUUUAUUUCUUAAAAUUUACUCGUUAAUAAAGAGGUUAAAGACUUUUUAAUGAAAAAUUAUUUAUAUUUUUAAAAACAAUGAAAAUUAGUUAAAAUUAGUUUUUAAGUGAAUAGUUAGUCAAGUCUCUGUGUGUAAAUUUUGGCAGCAUCACUAUUAUGUUUCUAGAGAAACUAUUGGAGUUUUCUUGGGUUUGGCCAACAGCAAGAAACCCUUUUUAUAGAUCAUUAGGUUUUAAUUUAGAUUUUAAUUUAGGUGUAUUUGAAGUGUAAACAAAAGUUUAAUACUUUACUUUUGUUUGAUAAUAAAUUAUCACAUGGUUUAGUAAAUCAAGAAAGUGUUGCUUAAACACAAUUAGAUUAAAGAGCUUUUUGUUUUUACAUUUAAGCACUGAACUGAUUCAUGGAUUUUUUUCAUUGUGAAGCAAAAUGAUGCUUUGGUUAGAAAUGGAAUAUCUUUUUAAAAACAUAAACUAUCAAUGGUGGCAUGUCAUGAUAUAAUUAGAAAUGAUCCAAUAAUUAGAGAUGGGAAAAGGUUGAUUAGCAAGGUUUAUAGCAACACAUUACUUUUGGUAACCAAAUUCAAGAUGUGAAUGUGAUUUGGACUUACUUGAACUUACCUUAGUCUUCAUUAUGCAGAAAAAAUAGUUUCUCAAACAAUAUUAGACAAGGUCAGGCCUAAUGAUCCACAAUAAAAGUUACUUACUAUUUGCCAUUCAAGACACUUGGUAUCUUCUUUCCAAAGAUUGGAACCUAAAGAUGCUAAAUGGUUUUGUGGACUUUGCUUU